AUCUGCUCAAACAGGCUUCGGGGAAGAACCUAAACCUCAAUGAUGAGUCGCAGCACGGCCUCCUGAUGCAGCUGCUCAAACUCAGCUACAACUGCCUCAACUACGACUUCAUAGGAACUUCCACGGACGAGUCGUCAGACGACCUGUGCACUGUACAGAUCCCCACAUCAUGGAGAUCAGCAUUUCUCGACUCCUCAACUCUGCAGCUCUUCUUUAAUUUGUAUCAUUCCAUCACUGCAUCCUUGUCUCCACUGGUGAGUG